GAUGAACGCUGGCGGCGUGCCUAAUACAUGCAAGUCGAACGAAUCUCUUUUAGAGAUGAGUGGCGAACGGGUGAGUAAUACAUAGGUAACCUGCCCCUGUGCGGGGGAUAACAGGAGGAAACUCCUGCUAAUACCGCAUUGCCAUGAGCACCGCAUGGAGCUCAUGCCAAAUAUCCUUUCGGGGAUAGCGCAGGGAUGGACCUAUGGCGCAUUAGCUAGUUGGCGGGGCAACGGCCCACCAAGGCAACGAUGCGUAGCCGGCCUGAGAGGGCGGACGGCCACAUUGGGACUGAGACACGGCCCAGACUCCUACGGGAGGCAGCAGUAGGGAAUUUUCGGCAAUGGGGGAAACCCUGACCGAGCAACGCCGCGUGAGCGAAGAAGGCCUUC
rnacentral:rRNA from 1 species